rnacentral:rRNA from 1 species
GCAUAACGCGAAGAACCUUACCUGGCCUUGACAUUGAUAGAAUCUGCUAGAGAUAGCGGAGUGCCCUUCGGGGAGCUUGAAAACAGGUGCUGCACGGCUGUCGUCAGCUCGUGUCGUGAGAUGUUGGGUUAAGUCCCGCAACGAGCGCAACCCUCGUCACUAGUUGCCAGCAUUUCGGAUGGGCACUCUAGUGGGACUGCCUAUGAAAGUAGGAGGAAGGCGGGGAUGACGUCUAGUCAGCAUGGUCCUUACGGCCUGGGCGACACACGUGCUACAAUGGCCGGUACAACGCGCUGCCACCUCGCGAGAGGGAGCUAAUCGUUAAAGCCGGUCCCAGUUCGGAUUGCAGUCUGCAACUCGACUGCAUGAAGUUGGAAUCGCUAGUAAUCGCGGAUCAGCCAUGCCGCGGUGAAUACGUUCCCGGGUCUUGUACACACC